rnacentral:tRNA from 1 species
GCCUGGGUGGCUCAGUCGGUUGAGCUUCCGACUUCGACUCAGGUCAUGAUCUCACGGUUCGUGGGUUCAAGCCCCGCGUCGGGCU